CUACGUGCCAGCAGCCGCGGUAAUACGUAUGUCGCAAGCGUUAUCCGGAAUUAUUGGGCAUAAAGGGCAUCUAGGCGGCCAGAUAAGUCUGGGGUGAAAACUUGCGGCUCAACCGCAAGCCUGCCCUGGAAACUAUGUGGCUAGAGUACUGGAGAGGUGGACGGAACUGCACGAGUGGAGGUGAAAUUCGUAGAUAUGUGCAGGAAUGCCGAUGAUGAAGAUAGUUCACUGGACGGUAACUGACGCUGAAGUGCGAAAGCUAGGGGAGCAAACAGGAUUAGAUACCCUGGUAGUCCUAGCUGUAAACGAUGAUUACUGGGUGUGGGCAUGAAGAGUGUCCGUGCCGAAGCUAAUGCGAUAAGUAAUCCGCCUGGGGAGUACGGCCGCAAGGCUGAAACUCAAAGGAAUUGACGGGGACCCGCACAAGCGGUGGAGCAUGUGGUUUAAUUCGACGCAACGCGAGGAACCUUACCAGAUCUUGACAUCC
rnacentral:rRNA from 1 species